GGUUGAGAUGUUAUUGAAUUCAGCUGGCUCCUGGUUGGAUGGGUGAAAAAGGGUGUGGGAGGUGGGGUUGGUCUUUUUUCUGCCAGUGUAGGGAGGGUUGUUGCUUUAGAAGGAAGAUCUAUGGCAUCCAAUAAUGCAAUGGCUGGAAGACAAGGAAGUGGCAGAGUAGCUGGGCGGAUGCACUGGAUAUUGGUAAUAAUUCUGAUGCUGGGAGGUCACCAGAUCAGUGGGCAAGGACAAGUAUGGAGCAGUAAAAGAGAUGUGUGGAUUUUUUCAGUUACUUUAAUAGCUUGAAUUGAAGCUAGAACAAUGGCAGAGCAGAGUGCUCUCCUACAAGUCUGACAGAAGAGUGCCCCACUUCUGACAGAAUGUCUUCUCAUUAUUGCUUCAGAUGAUCACUCCUAGUGAGGCUCCUCAAAUCUAUUUUUGUUCUUCCUCAAG